UGUGAGCUCAAAAUGAGAGGAAAAUAAGGUUUUUGUGUGUAUGGAACAUUUCUGGUAUUUUUUAUUUCAGCUCAUGAAAUAUGGGACCAACAUCAAAUCUAUUUAUAAAGCCCUUCUUACAUCAGCUGGUAUCUCAAAGUGCUGUACAGAAACCCAGCCUAAAACCCCAAACAGCAAGCAAUGCAGGUGUAGAAGCACAGGGGCUAGGAAAAAACUCCCUAGAACAUGUGUUUAUAUUUUUGUUCAGUGGUGGAACUGGCUAUAUGUCCUUCAGUAGGUACUACUUAUGGGAUGAAGAUGCAACAUUCUGGCAAUGUAUGUAUGAUAUUUGUGAGACAGAUCAUGCUUUCCAUCAGAUCCUGCAACCUCCACUGGAAACAGAUGUUUGUCCGCUGCUUUCGCCGUACCUGGAAGAGAGCCAGCUCUUCUCAAGACCACCUCCAGGUAUCGGCGACAAGCGGACCGCCACCAGACCACGGCUCCCUGGUAUUGUCUCGGGCAGAGGUUUUCCUGGUUUUGACCAUUCUGCCUGCCAGCCGUUCUCUACAUUGUCACACCACCCUGGAUUAUUGACCUCUGUCUGCCCUUGACCUGUCAUUUGCCUGCUCCCC
ensembl:lncRNA